AUACGGAGGGUGCGAGCGUUGUUCGGAAUUACUGGGCGUAAAGGGCGCGCAGGCGGCUUGAUAAGUCAGAUGUGAAAGCCCACGGCUCAACCGUGGAAGUGCAUCUGAAACUGUCUGGCUUGAGUACUGGAGAGGAAAGUGGAAUUCCUGGUGUAGAGGUGAAAUUCGUAGAUAUCAGGAGGAACACCGGUGGCGAAGGCGACUUUCUGGACAGAUACUGACGCUGAGGCGCGAAAGCGUGGGGAGCAAACAGGAUUAGAAACCCCGGUAGUCC
rnacentral:rRNA from 1 species